AAAUAGCAUAAAAGAAUACAUUUUGCAUGCGUUAUGUAAGAUACAAAAUAAGUCGAAGAAAUUCACGAAAAAAUUCAUAAUAAUUGUGGUAGCAACAAUUAAUCGGCAAAAUAAAUUUUAUUUCUUUCUGUUUUAAACUAUUCGACAAAUUAAGAUUAUCGGUAUUCAUUGAUACCAGCUCAUCUAUUCGUGCUAUAAUUAUUUCUUGGAACAUUCCCAACGAGCCAGUAAAAGCUUUACACGGUCUGUAAAGACCUUCGAAAUAUCUCCUGAACAGAACUGGAACUAUCAAACAAUAUAAAGCAAUAGUAAUUAAGAAGAAAGGGAGAUUUAAUUAAGAAGAAAGGGAUGGGUAGAAUCGUUUGGCAAAAUUAGAUCUAUGAUAAAAAGCAACAGUGCAACCAUCACGUUCGUGCGUUGCGUGUACACACUUUGUGCGAGAAGCAGUUUCGACGGUCACGACGUUUGAAGUUCUUGUAAAAAUAAAAUUUGCAGGACAUUUGCAAUUUAAAAAGGCAUUGCAAACUCAAAUCACACAACUGUGCCAAGCGGAAAAUUAAAAGAUCUAGGCAUUGAAUGUUAGGGAACGCGGAUGAUCUAAAUAUAAAGAAAUUGAAUAGUAGAAUGAAUGAUAUGUUAUAUUUCUUUAGAACUGCCUCACUUGUAUCCACGAUUGAUAAUUGAGAUCAGACAGACCGAGUGGAAAUAAAACGUUGCAACUUUGUUACAUGACUAACGAUGAUUAAAUAAUAUUUGGCAAUCUUCUAACUCUCCCACAAAAUUAUAUACAAAAGUAAAUCAAACAUCAUUCAAUGUAAAAUCUCACUGUAUUGGAAAAAAGAACAGGAGAAGGCAAAUAUGCAAUAAAUCUUCUCUGAUGCGUGUGGUAAAUAUAAGCAAAUAUGUAUAUAUAUGUGUGUGUGUGUGUGUGUGUGUGUAUUUAUAUAUAUACAAAAUGUACGGUCCUCACAAUCAGUCAAUUGUUCUGUCAAUGCUUUCUAAUCGUUUUAACGUAGAUGUCAACACAUUCUGCGGCAUGUACAUGCUCAAGGAUGUUACUCAAACUAAAAUGGAUAAGUAUGGAAUAUGUAAAUAUGAGUUUUGGAAACGAAAUCGUGAUUAAAUUCAGUUAAAUAUACUUGGAUAAACCAUAUCAAUAAUAUCCAUAAUCGAGCCUGCUUAUAUACAUGCAACUUCAAACUGUUAAAUGUUUAGUAUUGUACUUCACUUAUGUUCUUAAACACUAACAGCUGAUCAAAUACUAUGUUAGAUACUUAAUCCACAGCUGUUCCCUAAAUUUUUUAGAUCAAUAAUUUCAUCUUUUUAUCGUAUUUAAUAGAAAGACAACAUUUUUACUUAUGGUAUUAUACAAAAUAUAAGAUGCAAAUGUAUGCAUACAGUUGUAAACACAUAUCUGUUUACAUGUAAUAUAAUGUUAUGCUUACAUGUUAUAUGUCAUAUAAAUAAU